rnacentral:rRNA from 1 species
AGGUUAAGUUAAAAAGGGCGCAUGGUGGAUGCCUUGGCACUAGAAGCCGAUGAAGGACGGGACUAACACCGAUAUGCUUCGGGGAGCUGUACGUAAGCUUUGAUCCGGAGAUUUCCGAAUGGGGAAACCCAGCAGUUUUAAUCGACUGUUACUAUAUAGUGAAUUCAUAGCUGUAUAGAGGUAGACGUGGGGAACUGAAACAUCUCAGUACCCACAGGAGCAGAAAGAAAUUUUCGAUUCCCUCAGUAGCGGCGAGCGAACGGGGAACAGCCCAAACCAAUGAGCUUGCUCAUUGGGGUUGUAGGACUGAACAUUUGAGUUACCAAAGUUGUUGAUAAUCGAACAAUCUGGGAAGGUUGGCGAAACAGGGUGAUAGCCCCGUAGGUGAAAUCAAUGACCCUCAGUUCAGGAUCCUGAGUACGGCGACACACGUGAAACGUCGUCGGAAUCCGGGAGGACCAUCUCCCAAGGCUAAAUACUCUCUAGUGACCGAUAGUGAACCAGUACCGUGAGGGAAAGGUGAAAAGCACCCCGGAAGGGGAGUGAAAUAGUUCCUGAAACCAUGUGCCUACAAGCAGUUAGAGCCCGUUAAUGGGUGAUAGCGUGCCUCUUGUAGAAUGAACCGGCGAGUUACGGUAACAUGCCAGGUUAAGGUUUAAAAGCCGGAGCCGCAGCGAAAGCGAGUCUGAAAUGGGCGUUUUAGUAUGUUGCUGUAGACCCGAAACCAGGUGAUCUACCCAUGUCCAGGGUGAAGGUGCGGUAAAACGCACUGGAGGCCCGAACCCGUGUACGUUGAAAAGUGCUGGGAUGAGGUGUGGGUAGCGGUGAAAUUCCAAACGAACUUGGAGAUAGCUGGUUCUCUCCGAAAUAGCUUUAGGGCUAGCCUCGGACGUAGAAUCAUGGAGGUAGAGCCACUGUUUGGAUGAGGGGCCCGUCAUGGGUUACUAAGUUCAGAUAAACUCCGAAUACCAUUGAUUUUUAUCCGGGAGUCAGACGGUGAGUGAUAAGAUCCAUCGUCAAAAGGGGAACAGCCCAGACCACCAGUUAAGGUCCCUAAAUAUAUGCUAAGUGGAAAAGGAUGUGGAGUUGCAUAGACAACUAGGAUGUUGGCUCAGAAGCAGCCACCAUUUAAAGAGUGCGUAAUAGCUCACUAGUCGAGUGAUUCCGCGCCGAAAAUUUACCGGGGCUAAGCAUAUUACCGAGACUGUGGACUUGACCUUCGGUCAAGUGAUAGGAGAGCGUUCUAAGGGCAAUGAAGCCAGACCGUAAGGACUGGUGGAGCGCUUAGAAGUGAGAAUGCCGGUAUGAGUAGCGAAAGAUCAGUGAGAAUCUGAUCCACCGAAUGACUAAGGUUUCCUGGGGAAGGCUCGUCCUCCCAGGGUUAGUCGGGACCUAAGCCGAGGCCGCAAGGCGUAGGCGAUGGAUAACAGGUUGAGAUUCCUGUACUAGUUGAUGAUGUUUGAGCGAUGGAGGGACGCAGGAGGCUAAGUUGUGCAUCCAGUUGGAAAGGGAUGUUCAAGCCACGAGUCAGUCAAAGAGU